rnacentral:rRNA from 1 species
UACAGAGGGGGCAAGCGUUGUUCGGAAUUACUGGGCGUAAAGGGCGCGUAGGCGGCCCGCUAAGUCGAACGUGAAAUCCCUGGGCUCAACCCAGGAACUGCGUCCGAUACUGGUGGGCUUGAAUCCGGGAGAGGGAUGUGGAAUUCCAGGUGUAGCGGUGAAAUGCGUAGAUAUCGGAAGGAACAUCAGUGGCGAAAGCGACUUCCUGGUCCAGCACCGACGUUCAGGCACGAAAGCGUGGGGAGCAAACAGG